rnacentral:sRNA from 1 species
CACUGUUGAUUUGAAUUUCGAGUUGAGUAGGACAAAUUGUUCCGAAAAGGAGAUCAGAAGACGUUGAAUCAAACAUUUGAGAGAAUUGAGGAACGUGUCCAGUGAAAUCAAAAGAAAAUCCUUAUCAUUCCAACGAAACGAAUGCAGAAAAUUCAGAAGAAAGUGUUAACGUUCACAACCUCAAUGACAAUUUGAACUGCAGCGGAUCGCAAGAUUUCGAGGCGUGACUAAACCAUAUCUGGGAACAAAUGAUGGAAAUUAAAAAUUUAAUAUUAUCCCAAAUCCAGUAAUUGACGUUACCGAAUUCACAUAAUAUUCAGCUGAAUGUGCCCCAGUCUGGCUAUGUUUCCAGUGGGAGUAUUGAAAUGAGGGAUUUUCUGGUUCAACCAAGAACAGUGACAUAUGAUGAUGCCGAAGGAGAACAGUUGAAUUCGUCUACCAGCUCAUUUGGUGCCAUACCAAAGCCUUAGAAAAUAUAUCUGCUACCAAAAUUUACUGGCAUUCCUGAAAAAUGGGCUAUUUUAUUAUAAGAAUUUCGAUGCACUACGAGCGAAUUUGGCUAUACUCAAUGCAGAGCCUUAUGAGACUUCGUGAUUCAUUGAAAUUCAUCAAAUGUGGAUGAAACCGUGCAUAUGUUGGAAGUGACGUUUGGUCGGCCGGAGCUACUUAUAAAGACCCAAGUUUCUAUCUAUUCGAAAAAAUAGAUCUGUUGCUAUACGGCGAUAUGGAGGGUUUAGUGGUAUUUGCGAAUAAGAUAAUAAAUAUAGUUACUUUCUUACCAAAUGUGCAACUCGUUAACAAAUUGCCUCAAAGUCGACAAGUGCAAUGGGCUGGGCAAUGUUUACCGUUGAGUGGACCAACGACUGUUGCAGAUUUAAGUGUCUGGUUGCUUGCAUUGCGCAAAGUUGCGAACGUGGUUUUGGAUGCACUUCCGAAUACAGAAUCCACAAUCAAAAAGCCCGGCGACAUUAAGAAAAUAUACCAAACAUUAACUAUAGUUCAAAUGUGCGGCAUAUGUGGAGGGGGUUGCAAUCAAGCAGAUCAAUGUAACAUAUUUUUAAACUCUGACAUGGAAAACCCACUGAGAUUAUUAAGCGCUUACGUCUGUGUUUCUGUUGUCUUAAAGUUGGACGUAGAGUUUCACGAUGUUUUAAGAAGAAAUUCCUGUUACAUCACCUAGUUCUGGUCUGAUAAAAAUCAAAACAAUAUUAGAAUAGAUUGUUUACGGGCCGAAGAUGAUUCAUCGCAUGCGUUUUGUAAACGUAUUUUUAUGGCAAAUCGAUUGGAAGAAGAUAUGCAAAGUAUGACGGAAGAAUAUUUUAACAUGGAAACCUUGGCCUAAGGCUGAUACCAAAACACUUAC